rnacentral:rRNA from 1 species
GUGAUUAUUAGAUACCCUGGUAGUCCACGCCGUAAACGGUGGGCGCUAGUUGUGCGAACCUUCCACGGUUUGUGCGACGCAGCUAACGCAUUAAGCGCCCCGCCUGGGGAGUACGAUCGCAAGAUUAAAACUCAAAGGAAUUGACGGGGCCCCGCACAAGCAGCGGAGCAUGCGGCUUAAUUCGACGCAACGCGAAGAACCUUACCAAGGCUUGACAUAUACAGGAAUAUGGCAGAGAUGUCAUAGCCGCAAGGUCUGUAUACAGGUGGUGCAUGGUUGUCGUCAGCUCGUGUCGUGAGAUGUUGGGUUAAGUCCCGCAACGAGCGCAACCCUCGUUCUGUGUUGCCAGCAUUUAGUUGGGGACUCACAGGAGACUGCCGGGGUUAACUCGGAGGAAGGUGGGGAUGACGUCAAAUCAUCAUGCCCCUUAUGUCUUGGGCUGCACGCAUGCUACAAUGGCUGGUACAAACGGCUGCGAUACCGCAAGGUGGAGCGAAUCCGAGAAAGCCAGUCUCAGUUCGGAUUGGGGUCUGCAACUCGACCCCAUGAAGUCGGAGUUGCUAGUAAUCGUAGAUCAGCAACGCUACGGUGAAUACGUUCCCGGGGCUUGUACACACCGCCCGUCACAUCACGAAAGUCGGUAACACCCAAAGUCAGUGGCCCAACCGCAAGGAUG